AAGCGAUUCUCCUGCCUCAGCCUCCUGAGCAGCUGGGAUUACAGAAUUCCACACAAGGCCCUGACUCUGACCUCGAUGGAGUGCAUGGAAGACAGGAAGAUAAACCCAGCCUGCUGCAAACACAGGUUACCAUCAGCAUGAAAAAGUUACACCCCAUGAAGUGGCCAUUCUCUUCUCAAGACGUGGCACUGUGCUAAAAUCAAUUCCGAUGGUCAACAAAUAUGCGAACAAAUGGUAACUUUAUCAUUAUUGAAGGAAUGCAAAUGUAAACAAAAGUGACUUUUCCAUUUUUCAGCUGUUCAAUGGUCUAUGUUCAAAAUAAAUGAUUCUCCAUGAUUGGAUGAGCAUGGCUUUGGGAUCUCUUCUACAGUAGGUAGAUACACAGGUGCAUAAUCUUCCUGAAGGCACUUGAGCAAUGUCUAUAGAAUGGCUUAAAAUAUAUACACAUCUUAAACAUGGCCAACCAGGAGCAGGAAGCACUCCUAACAACCUGAUUGUGGUUUCCAAAUACCAUUUGGGAAAGUACCAAAAUUCCAAAAGGAAAGAAGAGGGCUCCUUGGAAAAUGGCGACUUAAGGUGAGAGACAGGAAAUGAACAAGAUGAGCUUGGAACAUCUCGUGGUGGCAGACAACAGGCAAAUGAUCAAAGAUGACUGGGUCAUAGCAAAAGGACACAGGAGCCAGCUGGAAGAGGCUCUUCCACACCCAACAUGGAGGCAUUUGAGCAUCACUGAGAGUGCAACUUAAAUGAACUGAAACGCAUUAAACAUCACACACACAAACACACACCCCUGCAUCUAAAUUCAUCAGCUACCAUGGCAGAAUGCUGGGGAAACCGAUUCAUUAUUAUUAUUAUUUCUGAGACAGAGUUUCUCUCUUGUCACCUGGGCUGGAGUGCAGUGGCGCAAUCUCGG